AUUUUCCACAUUUAUUGUCUUUGAACAGAGAAUAAUAAAGCCAUCAAACAUAUACAGGCUGUGCAAAUACAAACUUCUGUGGUGCAUUUGAUGACCUGCAGAGGAGAACAAGUCGGGCUUUUCAGCCCUAACACAACCUCUUUGUUCUCAAUACUACAAAACCUUAAAAGGCUGAUAUGCAAGUUUGCAUGAAUCACCAACACAGUUGUAUUUUUUCUAGUAUAGUUAUAAAUAAGGUGAUCAAAUAUCUGCUGACUGAUUAGAUUCAGUAUCUAUUACAGAUGAACUGGAUAUCACAGCAUGUUGUUAAUCCGUCAUAUCAAACUAAACAGUGUUGCUGGUGUAAAUAUCCUCCAAUAAAGUCAGAUGGGCUGAGGGUUGCUGUUGCCAGGUAACGAUGAUGUCACACUGGAUCUUCUGAUCUUCAGCAUCGUAGCGCUCGGAGUCUGAUGUUGGCUCAUGUGUUGUCAUACACCAACAUGACGUUCUACUAGUCAAGGCCUCACCUUAACCCACUGAUGCUGAUCACACAGACCCACUAAUAGAACUGUUUUAUCAGGUUUAUGCAGCGUCACCAUUAAUGUCACAUUUAAUCAGACCACAUUUACAUUACAAGCCCACUACAACCAUUAUCAACAUUUAAAUUACAUUAUACAUCUGCAGUGAUUUAAAGGACGACUAUUUUAACCUGAUUCAUUUCUCCACCUUAACAGUUCAUUCCUCAAAUGAAGCGAAAAAAUGUACCAACAAAUAAUUUAAUAUUUAUUUUCCAACUUUUACACGUGAAAUCAAACAAGUGUAUUUAACAAUGACAACCAGAGUGGAAGCUGCUCAUAUAGAGUCCAACCCAGGCUAAAAGUAAGCUGAGUAGACCAGCAUCAUCAAAGUGUCGGCUCUCUGAACACGGUGCAAGAUCGCCAUCUGCAGGACAAAUCUAGUUUUUCUCGCCCUCCUCGUCAACGGCAAGAUGACGUCAUCGUACAACAAAACAUGCAGAUCAGGUGACAUGACUGUCUAAGAGGCGGAGUAAAACUGUGGCAGGUAAGCAUGUGGAGGAGGAGCAACAUCGUUGCAUUAUACAGUUUCCUCUCUAACUGGAUGCAGCUGUGAACAAGAACAGCUGUGGAACCAUUGGCCAUUUGCCAUAGUGUAGCUGAGUCAAAACAGCCCAAGUGCUGAGAGGGAAAACAUGAUGAUUUAUGUAAAGUCAUAACUGGCUGCAGCAGCUGACCUUUGACCUGUGAGCUUCAGACUCUUUGCUGGUGUGAAGUGUUUAAUGUGACUUCAGCCUGCAGACACAGAGGACUGAUGAAGCAGAAGAUUGUCUCUGUUUCUACACAGACCUGGUCCAGACAGCAGAGCUGCAGAGUGAAGACGUUCAUGGGAAGAAGCUGACAGCAUGGAUCAGUGUGAGGACAGAGAGGAGGGAGUCCCUCCCUCUAAAA